rnacentral:rRNA from 1 species
GACGAACGCUGGCGGCGUGCCUAAUACAUGCAAGUAGAACGCAGUUGCGAACGGGUGAGUAACGCGUAGGUAACUGCCUCAUAGCGGGGGAUAACUAUUGGAAACGAUAGCUAAUACCGCAUACUUUGAGAUGGACCUGCGUUGUAUUAGCUAGUUGGUGAGGUAAAGGCGCACCAAGGCGACGCUACAUAGCCGACCUGAGAGGGGGAUCGGCCAAGCUGGGACUUGUACAAGGCCCAGACGCCUACGGGAGGCAGCAGUAGGGAAUCUUCGGCAAUGGACGGAAGUCUGACCGAGCAACGCCGCGGGAGUGAAGAAGGUUUUCGGAUCGGAAAGCUCUGUUGUUAGAGAAGUGGUAACUAACCAGAAAGGGACGGCUAACUACGUGCCAGCAGCCGCGGUAAUUC